rnacentral:rRNA from 1 species
AACGUAGGGGACAAGCGUUAUCCGGAUUUACUGGGCGUAAAGCGCCCCGUAGGCGGCUUUUUAAGUUGGACGUGAAAGCUCCCGGCUUAACUGGGAGAGCCGUUCAAAACUGAGAGGCUAGAGUGAGGCAGAGGAGCGCGGAAUUCCCGGUGUAGUGGUGGAAUGCGCAGAUAUCAGGAGGAACACCAAUUGCGAAGGCAGCUCGCUGGGACGUAACUGACGCUGAGACGCGAAAGCGUGGGGAGCAAACAGG